rnacentral:rRNA from 1 species
GUCUUAACCGGGCGUUAAGUUGCAGGGUAUAGACCCGAAACCCGGUGAUCUAGCCAUGGGCAGGUUGAAGGUUGGGUAACACUAACUGGAGGACCGAACCGACUAAUGUUGAAAAAUUAGCGGAUGACCUGUGGCUGGGGGUGAAAGGCCAAUCAAACCGGGAGAUAGCUGGUUCUCCCCGAAAGCUAUUUAGGUAGCGCCUCGUGAAUUCAUCUCCGGGGGUAGAGCACUGUUUCGGCUAGGGGGCCAUCCCGGCUUACCAACCCGAUGCAAACUGCGAAUACCGGAGAAUGUUAUCACGGGAGACACACGGCGGGUGCUAACGUCCGUCGUGAAGAGGGAAACAACCCAGACCGCCAGCUAAGGUCCCAAAGUCAUGGUUAAGUGGGAAACGAUGUGGGAAGGCCCAGACAGCCAGGAUGUUGGCUUAGAAGCAGCCAUCAUUUAAAGAAAGCGUAAUAGCUCACUGGUCGAGUCGGCCUGCGCGGAAGAUGUAACGGGGCUAAACCAUGCACCGAAGCUGCGGCAGCGACACUGUGUGUUGUUGGGUAGGGGAGCGUUCUGUAAGCCUGUGAAGGUGUGUCGUGAGGCAUGCUGGAGGUAUCAGAAGUGCGAAUGCUGACAUAAGUAACGAUAAAGCGGGUGAAAAGCCCGCUCGCCGGAAGACCAAGGGUUCCUGUCCAACGUUAAUCGGGGCAGGGUGAGUCGACCCCUAAGGCGAGGCCGAAAGGCGUAGUCGAUGGGAAACGGGUUAAUAUUCCCGUACUUGGUGUUACUGCGAAGGGGGGACGGAGAAGGCUAUGUUGGCCGGGCGACGGUUGUCCCGGUUUAAGCGUGUAGGUGUGUGUUCCAGGUAAAUCCGGUUCACUUUAACACUGAGGCGUGACGACGAGGCACUACGGUGCUGAAGCAACAAAUGCCCUGCUUCCAGGAAAAGCCUCUAAGCAUCAGGUAACAUCAAAUCGUACCCCAAACCGACACAGGUGGUCAGGUAGAGAAUACCAAGGCGCUUGAGAGAACUCGGGUGAAGGAACUAGGCAAAAUGGUGCCGUAACUUCGGGAGAAGGCACGCUGACACGUAGGUGAAGUGAUUUACUCAUGGAGCUGAAGUCAGUCGAAGAUACCAGCUGGCUGCAACUGUUUAUUAAAAACACAGCACUGUGCAAACACGAAAGUGGACGUAUACGGUGUGACGCCUGCCCGGUGCCGGAAGGUUAAUUGAUGGGGUCAGCGCAAGCGAAGCUCCUGAUCGAAGCCCCGGUAAACGGCGGCCGUAACUAUAACGGUCCUAAGGUAGCGAAAUUCCUUGUCGGGUAAGUUCCGACCUGCACGAAUGGCGUAAUGAUGGCCAGGCUGUCUCCACCCGAGACUCAGUGAAAUUGAACUCGCUGUGAAGAUGCAGUGUACCCGCGGCAAGACGGAAAGACCCCGUGAACCUUUACUAUAGCUUGACACUGAACAUUGAGCCUUGAUGUGUAGGAUAGGUGGGAGGCUUUGAAGUGUGGACGCCAGUCUGCAUGGAGCCGACCUUGAAAUACCACCCUUUAAUGUUUGAUGUUCUAACGUGGACCCGUUACCCGGGUUGCGGACAGUGUCUGGUGGGUAGUUUGACUGGGGCGGUCUCCUCCUAAAGAGUAACGGAGGAGCACGAAGGUUGGCUAAUCCUGGUCGGACAUCAGGAGGUUAGUGCAAUGGCAUAAGCCAGCUUGACUGCGAGCGUGACGGCGCGAGCAGGUGCGAAAGCAGGUCAUAGUGAUCCGGUGGUUCUGAAUGGAAGGGCCAUCGCUCAACGGAUAAAAGGUACUCCGGGGAUAACAGGCUGAUACCGCCCAAGAGUUCAUAUCGACGGCGGUGUUUGGCACCUCGAUGUCGGCUCAUCACAUCCUGGGGCUGAAGUAGGUCCCAAGGGUAUGGCUGUUCGCCAUUUAAAGUGGUACGCGAGCUGGGUUUAGAACGUCGUGAGACAGUUCGGUCCCUAUCUGCCGUGGGCGCUGGAGAACUGAGGGGGGCUGCUCCUAGUACGAGAGGACCGGAGUGGACGCAUCACUGGUGUUCGGGUUGUCAUGCCAAUGGCACUGCCCGGUAGCUAAAUGCGGAAGAGAUAAGUGCUGAAAGCAUCUAAGCACGAAACUUGCCCCGAGAUGAGUUCUCCCUGAGACUUAAAGUCUCCUGAAGGAACGUUGAAGACGACGACGU